CUAUAAGAACAAAAUAUCGAUAAAAUGUGUGACGUUUCUAAGGGGGGGUGGGGGGGGGGGUCUCCAGAGAAACGAACAUAUGACGUUUCUCAUGGACAAAAUCGAUAAGUGAGGCUUCCCUUGAAAGCUUCCAUCUCGUCCAUCUCCUGCUUGAUUUUGGUAGCUCCUGCUAGGGGCAGAAGUCGAGAGAAAAUGCCGGGUCCGUAAAACGCUAUUAGUCAGUUCACUUUCAAUCAGUUGUUAACUGAUCCAUAAGGGAUAUGUCACAUUUAGUCUUGCGACGCAUCCGGGGAUACUAAUUUUGAUCAGGUCAGCAGUCGCACGUAUUUUUACGCACGUAUUUUUAUUCAGUCUACCAUUCCUCUAUAAAACAUACUCCGUACUAUAACAACAACAACUCAAUGGCCCGAUUUGUACUAGAGACGGAUCAACUUGAGCUGACAAAAAAUACGGCGGCAAAAAGAUGGAUCAUCCGUUUUGAACUAUACCUGUAUGCGUAGUUCUUCUUCAAUGAGCGAACUUACGCAUGAGCGCUUCGUACUUUCCCUUCAGGAUACAUCCGCCUAUAGUUUUCUAAUUAAAACAUGAACUCUCAUGAAAAUACCAAGUAAUAUUUGUUCACAGGACCACUGGUAGACGAUCCAUCUCUAGACGAAAUCAUGUUAUCGGGCCAACAUAGCCUAUAUAUUGCCACUACAACAUUUAGCGUCGUACAAAAUAAUUACUGUUGUUCGUGAUUAUUCUGCGAAGUCUCUUUGUUCUCAGUAAAGUUUCCGAGCAGCAGCCCAAUGAUUGACUUGGCGAGAAAGUUCCGCCGCCAUAUCUUUGUCCACAUCAGGUGCCUCUUUUGAUGUAAUGAUACAGUUUAAUAAAUCCACCAACAUACGAGCGCUUUCAAUCACAUUUGGAAAUGGUAUUUUCUACA